rfam:Camelus ferus unplaced genomic scaffold scaffold7724, whole genome shotgun sequence.
GAGGGUAUAGCUCAAGUGGUAAGAGUGUGUGCUUAGCACGCAUGAGGUCCUGGAUUCAAUCCCCAGUACCUCCU